GACGAACGUUGGCGGCGUGCUUAACACAUGCAAGUCGAACGGAAAGGCCCUGCUUUUGUGGGGUGCUCGAGUGGCGAACGGGUGAGUAACACGUGAGUAACCUGCCCUUGACUUUGGGAUAACUUCAGGAAACUGGGGCUAAUACCGGAUAGGAGCUCCUGCUGCAUGGUGGGGGUUGGAAAGUUUCGGCGGUUGGGGAUGGACUCGCGGCUUAUCAGCUUGUUGGUGGGGUAGUGGCUUACCAAGGCUUUGACGGGUAGCCGGCCUGAGAGGGUGACCGGCCACAUUGGGACUGAGAUACGGCCCAGACUCCUACGGGAGGCAGCAGUGGGGAAUAUUGCACAAUGGGCGGAAGCCUGAUGCAGCAACGCCGCGUGCGGGAUGACGGCCUUCGGGUUGUAAACCGCUUUCGCCUGUGACGAAGCGUGAGUGACGGUAAUGGGUAAAGAAGCACCGGCUAACUACGUGCCAGCAGCCGCGGUGAUACGUAGGGUGCGAGCGUUGUCCGGAUUUAUUGGGCGUAAAGGGCUCGUAGGUGGUUGAUCGCGUCGGAAGUGUAAUCUUGGGGCUUAACCCUGAGCGUGCCUUCGAUACGGGUUGACUUGAGGAAGGUAGGGGAGAAUGGAAUUCCUGGUGGAGCGGUGGAAUGCGCAGAUAUCAGGAGGAACACCAGUGGCGAAGGCGGUUCUCUGGGCCUUUCCUGACGCUGAGGAGCGAAAGCGUGGGGAGCGAACAGGCUUAGAUACCCUGGUAGUCCACGCUGUAAACGGUGGGUACUAGGUGUGGGGUCCAUUCCACGGGUUCCGUGCCGUAGCUAACGCUUUAAGUACCCCGCCUGGGGAGUACGGCCGCAAGGCUAAAACUCAAAGGAAUUGACGGGGCCCCGCACAAGAGGCGGAGCAUGCGGAUUAAUUCGAUGCAACGCGUAGAACCUUACCUGGGUUUGACAUGGAUCGGGAGUGCUCAGAGAUGGGUGUGCCUCUUUUGGGGUCGGUUCACAGGUGGUGCAUGGCUGUCGUCAGCUCGUGUCGUGAGAUGUUGGGUUAAGUCCCGCAACGAGCGCAACCCUUGUUCACUGUUGCCAGCACGUUAUGGUGGGGACUCAGUGGAGACCGCCGGGGUCAACUCGGAGGAAGGUGGGGAUGACGUCAAGUCAUCAUGCCCCUUAUGUCCAGGGCUUCACGCAUGCUACAAUGGCUGGUACAGAGAGUGGCGAGCCUGUGAGGGUGAGCGAAUCUCGGAAAGCCGGUCUCAGUUCGGAUUGGGGUCUGCAACUCGACCUCAUGAAGUCGGAGUCGCUAGUAAUCGCAGAUCAGCAACGCUGCGGUGAAUACGUUCCCGGGGCU
rnacentral:rRNA from 1 species